rnacentral:miRNA from 1 species
GCAAGGGCAGGCAUUGGAGCCGCGGUUGGGAGAGGUGCUGCGCUGCGCCUCUCCCAACCGUGGCUCCUAUGCCUGCUUUUGC